rnacentral:lncRNA from 1 species
UCCCAUCAUGGCAAUGUACGUAUAUGAUAUAGGCAAGAUAAGAGCGGAACCCCACGGGGCUGCAGCGAUGGUACCAAGUGGCUGACUCUUUUCAGGGGCCGGGAUGCCACCUGAUGUGAAGGCAAGUAUGGUGCCAAGUGUUUCUUAACGCCAAUGGGACCCAUUCCGGGACCACCACCGCCAUGUGGAAUGCAAAAUGUCUUGUGUAGGUUUAGAUGACAAACGUCAGCACCAAUCCACCCUGGACUUGUCAAACCA